UACGUAAGUUCCGAGCGUUGUCCGGAAUUAUUGGGCGUAAAGGGUACGUAGGUGGAUAAGCAAGUUAGAAGUGAAAGGCUAUAGCUCAACUAUAGUAAGCGUUUAAAACUGCUCAUCUUGAGGUAUGGAAGGGAAAGUGGAAUUCCUAGUGUAGCGGUGAAAUGCGCAGAUAUUAGGAGGAAUACCGGUGGCGAAGGCGACUUUCUGGCCAUUAUCUGACGCUGAGGUACGAAAGCGUGGGUAGCAAACAGG
rnacentral:rRNA from 1 species